rnacentral:rRNA from 1 species
UACGGAGGGUGCGAGCGUUUGUCCGGAAUCAUUGGGCGUAAAGGGCGCGUAGGUGGCCUGCUAAGCGUGCGGUGAAAGUCGGGGGCUCAACCCCCGAUCGGCCGUGCGAACUGGGAGGCUUGAGCACUGUAGAGGCAGGCGGAAUUCCGGGUGUAGCGGUGGAAUGCGUAGAGAUCCGGAAGAACACCGGUGGCGAAGGCGGCCUGCUGGGCAGUUUUGCUGACACUGAGGCGCGACAGCGUGGGGGAGCAAACGG